rnacentral:rRNA from 1 species
UACAGAGGGGGCAAGCGUUAUUCGGAAUUAUUGGGCGUAAAGGGCGCGUAGGCGGCAUGACAAGUGGAUGGUGAAAUCCCUCGGCUUAACCGAGGAACUGCCAUCCAGACUGUUUUGCUUGAGGCCGGGAGAGGUGAGUGGAAUUCCCAGUGUAGCGGUGAAAUGCGUAGAUAUUGGGAGGAACACCAGUGGCGAAGGCGGCUCACUGGACCGGCAUUGACGCUGAGGUGCGAAAGCGUGAGGAGCAAACAGG